UUCUGAUGAACAAACUCAGAUCUGGUCGGAUAAAGAAGAAAAAUGGUUUUCAUCUGAUGGAAUCACAUUCCAGGAUAAUGACUCCCUAGAUCAGGGUGGUGCAUACAUAUACAGCAAUGAAAGCUUUAAACCUGCACUGGAAAAAGUUGAUACAUCAAUCCAGGUGAGAUUUGAACACCCAGAGAUAAUUAAACAUUAAAGGCUUCCGCCACCCAAAUAUCUGACAUCAGCUGUGAGGAUGGAGACUGACACCUUCUGCUACUUGGGAAGACCGACGGAUCUUCUGCUCUUAUAACAAAGUUACAUCCCUGUUUCCAAGUCGUUGACUGUGAUCAUUGAGAACGAAACUAGUAGGAUCAUAGUAGGAUAAAAAACCUGGAAGAGAGAAGAACUGAGGACCGGUUUCCGCAUCGUACUGUCCGCCACGUCCCGCCACCUGUUUUUCUAUGGAAUGUUACGCUAUGUCCUGUCACCUGUUUCCCCAUCGUACUGUCUGCCACGUCUCGUGACUUGUGUCCCCAUCGCACUGUACAGAUCAGCCUAUUUAUAACACCACUUAUCGCCUAUGUAUUACCCUAUAAAAUAAUAAAUAUAAAGGGUGUAUCACUUUCUGCAAGAAAAGAAGCACAUAUGUCUACAUACUUUCAAUUGUUAACCUGGCUGGUAAAUAGAAAACUGUUCCGCUAACAUGUCAUAAACUGCAAUGUAACAGUGCCCUCUGGUGGCGUAGUAAGAUGAUUGCAGGACUGAUAGUGGUCUCUCAACUUGUUUAAAAUUAAACGUUGAGUCCUCCAUGACUUACUGAAGCUGAUGAAAGGGUUUUAAUGAUAAUUUUGUCCCCUGGAGAGAUUUGCGUUAAAUGUACUAAAACCACGAAGACCACGGCUUCCAACAUGUAGCCCUCAAGAGAGUUGUCAAAUACUUUGAAGUACUAAUUAUUACUAUUAACAGCAGUGGUGCAAGUAGAAAUAUUUUCUUAGUGGUACUGAGUGUCGAAAAAUGGGUGUGGUUAUGUAUUGUGAGGGGGCGUGACCAUAUGCUGCUAGUGGGAGUGGCUACAUGACACCACCGGCGUGGCCACAAUACAGCCCCCCCCCCCUUUUUUUUAUGUGCA